AUUGAACGCUGGCGGCAGGCCUAACACAUGCAAGUCGAACGCAGUGGGGACGGGUGAGUAACACGUGGGUAACCUCCCAUCAGAGGGGAUAACCCUUGGAAACAGGUGCUAAACCGAUAUGGAUGGAUGGACCCGUGGUGCAUUAGCUAGUCGGUGAGGUAACGGCUCACCAAGGCCACGAUGCAUAGCUGACCUGAGAGGGUGAUCAGCCACACUGGGACUGAGACACGGCCCAGACUCCUACGGGAGGCAGCAGUGGGGAAUAUUGCACAAUGGGCGCAAGCCUGAUGCAGCCAUGCCGCGUGUAUGAAGAAGGCCCUAGGGUUGUAAAGUACUUUCAGUCGGGAGGCGUUACCGACAGAAGAAGCACCGGCUAACUCCGUGCCAGCAGCCGCGGUAAUAC
rnacentral:rRNA from 1 species